AUUUUUCCUAAUAGAACUGAACUUGUAUCGUGCAUUGUUGUAAGCUGAUUGGUCGACGUUUGGGAGAAGAUGGUUCGAUUGUUUUUACUUUCAAUGAUAUUUCUUUCGAUGUAUACAGUUGUGAUGAUGCAGACAUUUGAAGAGAGUUUUACUACGCCCAGGCAUGGACCUUGUGAUUCGAAUCCUUGUGCAGGCGGUGAAACAUGCUUCGAAAUUAUCCUUGGCUAUAAAUGCACUAAUCAAAGAAAAAGAAUCAAAUCAAAAAAUAUUGAUCACUCCAUUUUCCAUAGCUUUGGGGAUAUCAUAGGGUAAAGCCUACUUUAUUGCAUAAAUUGAAACAUCAGAUAAAAAGGACACCAGUUUGGAAGGAAUACUAGCGUUGCAUUAAAGAGUGAAGUAUCCAUUCGAUGAUGGUUUGAUCUAUUAUCUAAACAUACAUUUAAAAACUUGAAUUUGCUAUGAUGUUGCAAGUAUUAAUAUUAAAUAAAUAAAUAAAUAAGGAAUGAUCUAUUAAAUAUUCCUCUGAUGAACCCUGUAAGGUUGUACCUCGUUAUUUGUUUCUGUACUAGUAGUUAAAGAUUAGUUCACAGCCCCCAACUCCCCAUACUAAAUUUUUAUUGCAAAACUGCAUAGAUUGACAAUCGCAAGCCCGUAUACCCGUAUAAUCAAAAGCAACCGGCUCAGACCGUCUUAAGCCACGAAUUCUCAAGAAUUGUGCUAAUCAGUUAUCCUGUGUUUUUUCUGAUAUUUUUAAUCUUUGUUUUAAAUCCUGCUCAUUU